AAAUAUAUAAGUGAAGCACUAGAGCAAUUCCAUAGCUCAAAAAGUUUAAGUGAAGCAUAAAGAGCAAUUCUAACAAAUCAUAACAUAAUUUUGGCUCUCUCAAAUAGGUGUGUCCGGCAAGGAUAGAUGACUCAAACUAGAAAGCAAAACAAGCAAAGACUCAUAUAAUACAAGACACUCCGAGCAAAACUCAUGAUAUGUGACGAAUAAAAAUAUAGAUGGUCGUUAGAAGAAAGAGCGGAUGCCACUCGGGAGCAUCCCGAAGAUUAGUUGCUUGUUUCUCCUUGGAUAAUAACUUGGGGAGCCAUGGGGCAUCCCCAAGCUUAGGCUCUUCUUACUCCUUAUUCCUUCAUCCAUCAUGAUCUCACUUAAAACUUGAAAACUUCAAUCACACAAAACUCAACAAAACCUUCAUGAGAUCCGUUAGUAUAAGAAAGCAAAUUACUACUCUAAGUAUUGUUGCAGACCCAUUCAUAUUUUAUUUUCCCAUUAUAUCUAUUGUAUUCCAACUUUACUAUGGCUUAUACCCCCCGAUACAAACCAUAGAUUCAUCAAAAUAAGCACACAACGCAAAGAAAACAUAAUCUGUCAAAAACAGAAUAGUCUGUAGCAAUCUGAAAACUUCGUAUACUUAUGUAACUCCAAAAGUUCUGAAAUUUUAGGACAACGUAGGCAAUUUGUAUAUCAAUAUUUUGUAAACCAUUAAGAAUUUUUUGUCGUUUCUAUGAUUUUUCAAACUAUUUUACUGGACGCAAAACUUUUUGUUUUCCAACAAGAUCAAAACAACUGUCACCCAACAUUAUCCCAAAGGCUUUGCUUGGCCCAAACACUAAUUAAAACAUAAAAACACAAUCAUAAGAGAGGCAUAAUUGUGCAAACACUCAAGAACAGAAAGAAAAAGGCAAAAAAUAAAAUUUAUUCAUUGGGUUGCCUCCCAACAAGCGCUAUCGUUUUAUGCCCCUAGCUAGGCAUAGCGCAUAGAUUCAAGUGUUGUCAUUUUUAGUUUCCAACUCCUCAAUCAAACACUUAGAAUUCUUCAAAGAUUUAGCAUACAAAUAACAGUACUUCUAGGAACAAGCUUGAAAAAUUCAUUCUUGCAAGUAGGGUCUUUUAUCACUUCAAUAAAAUCAGGGUGAAUACUAAUCAUCUUAAUAUCUUCUUUGUUAGAAGUCGUACCCUUGUUUUUAGUGACUUAAGUAAUCUUGCCAAUCUUUACAGGAGUUUUUUCAAUAGUUUAACAGAACUAAAAGUCGUGCUUAGAUUACUAAAAAUUUCUUCCAACUUAUCAAUUCUUGCGGGGCUCUCCUCUAUUCUUUCGUUGAAUGCGGGUUCUUUUUCUUUUAGUACUUUAAGAGCGUCUCCCGCUUUUGACCCAAUUCUAUUAGCAAGAUUGUGCAUUCUUUUAUCUAAUUUUUCAAUGUUUUCUUCAGUGAGCAUUUCCUUUUCAAUAGCAUCUAGCCUUUCCAUAACAUGCUCGAGAGUUAAAGUUGUUUCAUUAAGCAUAACAGGUGGUGAGCCCACUUAAUUUCCCAUAGCAUUAAAAGCAUCUAGAGAAGGGCACAUCAAGAAAUUCCCACCGGUAAUCGUAUCAAGGAAGAAUCUAUACCAAGUAGUGAUGUCCACAUAAAAGCAUCAAAGAGGAACAACAGUAGAUUGCUUACGAAUAGAUCUAUUAUGAGUAUUGCAAAUCCUAUACCAAGCAUCUUUUAGAUUCUCCCCUCCCCUUUGUUUGAAAUAAUAACACUAUGUAAAUGGUACCUGCACACAAAGAACAAAUACUUGCAACCCGACAUGUAAGAGGGGUUGUCAAUCCCUCCCGGGUAAAAGAUAGAUUGGAUUGUAGUAGAUUGGAUAAAUAGAUCUCGCUGAAACGCGAAAUAAAAUAAAUAACAAAAAAUUGCAGCAAAGUAUUUUUUGGUUUUUGGAAUAAUAGAUCUGAAAAUAGAAGUGGCAAAUAAAAGAUCGGAAAAAAUAUGACAAAGAAAAGACCCGGGGGUCGUAGAUUUCACUAGUGGCAUCUCUCGAGAAAAAUAGCAUACGGCGGGUAAACAAAUUACUAUUGGGAAAUUGAUAGAACUUCAAAAUAAUUAUGAAGAUAUCUAGGCAACGAUCAAUAUAUAGGCAUGACGUCCAAGAUUAGUAGACAGACUCCUGCCUGCAUCUACUACUAUUACUCCACACAUCGACUGCUAUCCAGCAUGCAUCUAGUGUAUUAAGUUCAUGGAGAAACGGAGUAAUGCAAUAAGGACGAUGACAUGAUGUAGACAAGAUCUAUCCAUGUAGGAAUAGACCCCAUCUUGUUAUCCUUAAUAGGAAUGAUCAAUACAUGUCUUGUUGCCCCUUCUGUCAAUGGGAAAGAACACCGCACGACCGAACCCAUCACCAAGCACCUAUUCCCAUGGCAAGAAAAUCGAUCUAGUCGGCCUAACUAAACCAAAGAUUCAGAGAAGAAAUACGAGUCUAUAAAUAAUCAUGCAUAUAAGAGAUCAAAACUCAAAUAACUUUCAUGGAUAAAAUAGAUCUGUUCAUAAACUCAAAGUUCAUCGGAUCCCAACAAACACACCGCAAAAAGAGUUACAUCAGAUAGAUCUCCAAGAGACCAUUGUAUUGAGAAUCAAGAGAGAGAGAGAGAGAGAGAGAGGAAGCCAUCUAGCUACUGCCUACGGACCCAUAGGUCUACAAUGAACUACUCACGCAUCAUCAGAGAGGCACCAAUGAGGAUGAUGAACCCCUCUGUGGUGGUUCCGGAACUUGCGACAGCUGCAAUUGUGUUUCGUCAACUCCCCUAGGUUUUUUGGAUUUUCGGGGUAUUUAUAGAGCAAAGAGGCGGUGCAGGAGGCGGACGAGGUGGGCACAACCUACUAGGGCACGCCUGGGCCCCCAGGCGCACCCAGCUGGGUUGUGCUCCCCUCAGAUCCCCCUCUCGUACUUCUUUGGCCCAACAGGUGUCUUCUGGUCCAGAAAAAUUCUCCAAAAAGUUUCGCUGCGUUUAGACUCCGUUUGGUAUUGAUUUUCUGCGAAGUAAAAAACAAGCAAAAAACAGCAAUUGGCAUUGGGCACUAUGUCAAUAGGUUAGUCCCAAAAAAUGAUAUAAAGUUUCUAUAAAAUGAUUGUAAAACAUCCAAGAAUGAUAAUAUAACAGCAUGAAACAAGAAAAAAUUAUAGAUACGUUGAGAAGUAUCAGUGACACCCAUGGGCCCUGGCAUCUUCAAUGUAUUAUAGGUGUAGUGAGAAGCCGCCAUAAAUUUGGCCAAAGCAGCGCGGCCAAGGAUUCCAUUAAAUGGCAAGGGGAUCUUAACCACAUCAAACACUACCUUCUCAGUCUGGUACUUUAGGUCCCCGCCAAACGUCACUGGCAGGGUGAUCUUUCCCUUUGGUUGGCUCCUUCCCGGGUUAAUUCCUUGGAACGUCCCUAUUUUCUUGAGCUCUUCAUCAGGUAUCUGCAGCCUCUUGAUCACCUCAGGAGAAAUCAAGUUCAAGCCAGCACCGUUAUCAACUAACAUUUUCGUGACCUUGAAGUUGCGUAUUGUUGGUGAAACCAACAACAACAAACACCCAACUACAGUAGUGCGAUCAGGGUGGUCCUCGGCAUCGAACAUGACAGGCGUGUGGGACCACUUGAGGGGCCUUCAUUAAUUUCACCCAACUACAGCUGCCGGUUCCACUUCAUUAAUUUCACGGGCCCAUUGCUGGAGUUGACGGUGGGAGGAAUGCAAAGAUGCACCUCCAUCAAUGCACAUGGCCUCCGUUGCCUAUUGGAACUCUUGCUCGCUAGACUCACUACCAUCAUCUUCACUUUGUUUGUCUUCUUCUUUCUUUUCUCUACCCCUAGCAGGCUUUUAUUACUUCUGGCUGGCGUUGCCGCAGCGUCCCCCAUGGCCAUUCUUGUCGGGUCCAUAAGUACCUUCCUAACCCUCCUCCUUGUCCCGCUUCUCGUACUCUGCUUUCUGCUUCUCAACUAGCUGCUCGACUUGGUGGCACUCUUGGAGAUCAUGGCCCUUGGUACAAUGAAUCUUGCAGUACGGUCCAUCAAACUUGCCAGUCUUCUCCCCCAUAGUGGCAACCUAGCAAUCAGUUCAUUAAGUUGCUUCCUUGAUGGUACCCUCUGUUUUGGAUUUCUUGGCGGGGCUGGAGUUGUUGGACCCUUCUACAGCCAUAACUGUCUUGCCUCUAUGCUUUCUGUUUCUCCCUGAUUCUUCUUUCCCGGGGCGGUGGCAUCAUCAUCGUCAGAGUUGAUCUCAGCAGAGUCUUCCUCCCCGGGAAGCCUUCUCCAUUCUUCAGCACGUGCACAUUUGUCCGCCAACGUAUAAAGUUCGUUUACAGUCUUUGGCAAACAGACAUGCAUCUUCUCCCGCAUCUUCCGGUUGUGCACAUUCGUGUGGAAUGCGGCAACUAAAGCCGCGGGAUGGAUGUUCGGUAUGCUGCGAUGUACGCGGUUGAACCUCUGGAUGUACUUGCGUAGGCUUUCUCCUCUUUUUGUGGGAUCACUUGCAAGUCAUUGGGCAACCUUGGACCUUUCUGUCCUCCCGUAAAAGCACCAAUAAACUCAUUGCAAAGAUCUGACCAUGAAGCAAUGGAAUUUUCUGGUAAGUUCAUUAGCCAAGAUCUCACGUUGGGCUUGAGCACCAACGAAAAGUAGUUGGCUAGGAUUUUCUCGUCUCUUCCCCCGGGAGCUUGCACAACAAUCAUAUAGAUGCCCAAGAACUAUGCUGGGUUUUGAUUGUCGUGGUACUUUUCCGGGACUUCAGGCUUGAAUGUGCAGACAUAAGGCCAGCGGACUUCCGCAGCUCACGUGUGAAGGCAGGGCACCCAACCUCGUAAGGUAAGUACCCCCCAACAAUGGGCACUAGCUGAUCGACGGUUGGACCGUUGCGCUCGUCUAAUUGACGGCGUGCCUCCCGACGCCGCUGGAUAGUAGUGCGGGCAUCCUCCCCCCGCCUUUCCAGCAGCACUUGCCUCCGAUCCCGAUGCGUCUGCGGAUCUGAGGAUGCCAUGGAUGCAUCGUUAGGCUGCAUGUCUUGUUGGUUUCGCUGCGAAAGUCGAGGUUGUCGCUGAGGCUAAUGCCGAGGAGGGGAUUGCACCGUGGGUGCAGCACCCGCCCCAUGGUCCUCAGCUUUUGCUGCAGGUGCAGUUGGCGAGAGCCGCGAGGGCUCCGCUAACUGGGACCUUUUCGCAUCGGCAAACUCGAUCAAAAUCCGAAGAGUGGCUCUCCACUCAUCCAUCUUGUCAGCCACUGGGGGUAAAUCGAACAGUAUCUGCGCCCGCGCCAUCACUUUCAUCGCCCCUCGGGGUAUGUUGGAGCAUGAGGAUCGCGAUGUUGCUCGACUCCAGGCAGAGCCAGAAGGAGAAGCGUUGCAGUCUCGUUGCCGAAUCACGAGGGCGGCAUUGGGCUGACGCGGUGGGAGUGGCUCCUGGAAAUCUUGAUCUUCAUCAACUGGCGACUUGCCAUGCGGGCGCCGUCGCGGAGGCACAACAACACUGCUCGGCGCCUUAUCGCGCCCAUCUCACGACGGACAUGGCACGUGUCUCGACGUCGUCUCCACCGCACCGCCGGGGCCGGUGCAGCGAGAGGAUCUUGGCUUGCGCCGAACCGGGAGGCAUUGCUUUGGUGGUUGUGUUCGCCCUGAAGCGGGGAGAGCAGGAGUUGCACGUCCGCACCGCCCACACGAUUGUGGUGGUCAUGGCUAGAGGGUCGUGUGAGGUGAUCGGCUCUGGCGCGUCUGUUGUCCGCCCCCGCCACGGUGUGCACGGCGACAGCACCUCCUGUGCUGGUUGUGCCCCCCGUGGCUUCCGCACCGCCCGCUGGAGUGGUGCCGCCUACGCCAUCCGUGGGCGAAUAUGGUGGUGGUUUGGACGAGGAUGGUUUCGUCGUCAUGGAGCCCUUCUUCUUGGGUGCCAUGGGUGGUGAACAAGAUGCAGAACUUCACAUAGCCAACACGCUUCUCACUGCUUUGAUCCACGCAAUUUUAUUCCCCUACCUAGCACGCCAAAGAUGUCAGCGUGGAGCGGGCAAUCUAUGGGGCAAUGCAGCCCCUUUGCUGGUUCAGCGAGGGGUGAUGGUCGACGCAUAGAGCAAACACAACGGGAAGCACACGAUUUCACCCAGGUUCAGGCUGCUCGGAAGCGUAAAACCCUACUCCUGCCUUUGGUUUAUUGGUGGUGUUUGAACACGAAGUACACGGAGCGCUCCUCCCCGACAAGUGGUGAGGAGGGCAGUUGCAUGAAUACCUAUGCGUGAGAGUUGUAAAGGUUCGAACCCCUUCUAAUGUUCCCAUGGCCCUCCUUUUAUAGGUCAAGGGGUAACCACAGUGGCAAAAAGGUCAUUACAAGGCGCGCCAAGAACGCUGUGAGGCCUGCUUCUCCGUGGACUGCCGUCUCGCCCGCUGCUUCAAGAAGCACACAUUGGGACACACCCUUAAGUGAUGCUGAAUCACCUCUCUCGGCACCCCCACCAGCUAGCACUACUAGAAAUCCACAUUUUACCUAGAGCCAUAUACCCUAGGUGAAAUAGGAAAAACCAUAGGGAAAGACUUUACCUUGGGCUUGCCCUAGGUAAAGAACCCUAGGUAUAGUAUAGUUGGUAAAGACUUCUUCCCCUAGGGUGUAUCCAACAAGCUGUAGGGAAAGUUCCUUUACCUAGGGGCACAAGCCCUAGGGAAAGAUUUCCAUAUGGAUCCUACAUCCCACGUGUAUGGUUGUUUACCUACAGCCAAGCCCUAGGGAAAGACUAUGGGGCCCCUUUGCACCACAUCACCAUACUUCCCCUAGAGUUACAUACUGUAGGGAAACACCAGCCCCAUACAUGACAUAAUUCAAAUGUGUAAUUUAAAUUUAAAUUCAUAAUUCAAAUAAUCCAAAAUGGAUUCAUAAUUAUGAAAUGAAAAUAACAUCAAAUAUAUAGAUAGAUAUCAAUCGUCACAUGCAUACAAUAGAUGCCAAGACAUCACCAGCCAUCAAAUGUUUGACAAAAAAUAGGCACGCUGGCCAGAGUUUGCUACAUCUAACUGAGUAAACAUCUUAAUUAGCACCUAUAUAUUGAUGUAGGUCAACUAGAGUUUUCUACAUCACAAAACAUGUUAACUAUACAUGCACCAAAAUGUUACACCAAAACAUGUACCACCAUGUUAACAUCAAGAACCCAAC
rnacentral:lncRNA from 1 species